UACGUAGGGGGCAAGCGUUGUCCGGAUUUAUUGGGCGUAAAGAGCGUGUAGGCGGUUAGGUAGGUCCGUUGUGAAAACUCGAGGCUCAACCUCGAGACGCCGAUGGAAACCAUCUAACUAGAGUCCGGAAGAGGUGAGUGGAACUGCGAGUGUAGAGGUGAAAUUCGUAGAUAUUCGCAAGAACACCAGUGGCGAAGGCGGCUCACUGGUCCGGUUCUGACGCUGAGGCGCGAAAGCGUGGGGAGCAAACAGG
rnacentral:rRNA from 1 species